rnacentral:rRNA from 1 species
AACGAACGCUGGCGGCAUGCCUAACACAUGCAAGUCGAACGAGACCUUCGGGUCUAGUGGCGCACGGGUGCGUAACGCGUGGGAACCUGCCCUUAGGUUCGGAAUAACUCCCCGAAAGGGGUGCUAAUACCGGAUAAUGUCUACGGACCAAAGACUUAUCGCCUUUGGAUGGGCCCGCGUUGGAUUAGCUAGUUGGUAGGGUAAAAGCCUACCAAGGCGACGAUCCAUAGCUGGUCUGAGAGGAUGAUCAGCCACACUGGGACUGAGACACGGCCCAGACUCCUACGGGAGGCAGCAGUGGGGAAUAUUGGACAAUGGGCGAAAGCCUGAUCCCGCAGUGCCGCGUGAGUGAUGAAGGCCUUAGGGUUGUAAAGCUCUUUUACCCGGGAUGAUAAUGACAGUACCGGGAGAAUAAGCUCCGGCUAACUCCGUG